GGAGAGAGGGUGGAAAGCGGCGGCACUGACGGGCGGGCUCAACAAGUCGUGAGGGCAGGGACCAGCAAGCCGGGCUCCCCGCGGCGCGGGCUGCAGGGCUGAGCCCGGCUCCGGGGAGAGGCGCAGCUCAGAGCUCCGCCCCGCCAGCAAGCGAGGAGGGACAGGCCCGGCCGGGCUGUGGCGCUCAGGCCGCUGCUAUAAGAGGCGCCGCCGGGGGGCAGGUGCGGCCAGCCGAGAGCUCGGAGCUGCGCGGGCGCGUAGCGGCUGGGCCAGGUGCCUGGGCGCUGCAGGGCUUUGCUAUGGCAGAGGCUGCGAGCGUGGUGCCGAGGGUCUUGUAUCUGAAAGAGCGGCUCGGCCAGACUCAGGAUCCCCAAAAGGUACCGCCUCGCUCCCACGCCACCCCGCACCUGCCUAGGAGAGGAGGCUGGAGUCAGCGCCCUGCGGGGGCUGCUGGCCUGGGGCCUGUUUCUGGCUGACUGCCCCCGCACACAAGCUGCGGGAUCCCUCUGGCAGGUCCCCCUGCAAGUGACCACAAGGGGAAAAAACAGAACACUGAAAAGAGGAACGAAUUCUCAUUGGACAAGACAAAGUCAUCGAUUUGUAAAGAGAAUAAGAACUCUGGCAAGACAAAAAUGUCUGAACCAGCCUCGGAAGAUGGUAAAAGAUCUCCCACAUCUGAUAAAUGGAAGAAGGAGCAUAGUUUUACAGAGAGUAAGCAAAGAAAUAAAGAUACUGAGUCUUCUAAUGGACGUGAAAGCAAAAUACAUAGCUCCAGUAGUUCUAAAAAUAUGUCCCAAAGCAUCAAUCCUGAAAACACAAAAAGUGACUGCAAAGAAACAACCUCUGCAGCCAGCAAAAAACCUUCAGAAAAGCACCAUUCCCCUAGAGCCAGCAAAAAAGACCUAUUGCCAACAAAAGGGUCUUGUAAGGAUCUUUCCAAACAGAGAAACUCUGAGGACACAGGAAAAUUAAAACAAACGCUUAGUGUGGAAAACAAACCAAAGUUGCCCAGUGAUGAGGACUUUGAGCCCCCCACUAUGUCUUUUGAAUCCUAUCUUAAUUAUGAUCAGGUUUCAAAUAAAAGAAAGAGGAAGACUUGUACUACAAGUGAACAGUCAAAAAACAUUAAGGGCUGCGAACAGAAAAACUGCUCGUUAUCGCCGAAAACUUCAAUAUCCCCUGUCACAAAAGAGAGAGAGGAAAAACCACACAAAUCAGAAGAUGAUCAGUCAGAAAGUCCCACUAAAAAGGCCAAGACAGCAUCGCUCCAAGAUCUACUUAAUACUCCACUGCCUAAAUUUCUGCCAGAGAUAUCCUUAUCUUCUCCCCCAUAUUCUACGGAGUUCAAAGCACCAGUCGCAGAAGUACCCCAGCAAAGCAGUGAUACAAAUCAAUUCACAGGACGGAGACUGAACUCUAAAAUGCAGGUUUACUCUGGCUCUAAAACAGUCUAUCUUUCAAAGAUGCUAACCCUGUAUGAACAGUGCAUCCGCAUACUUCAAAAUAACAUUGAUUCACUACAUGAAGUAGGAGGAGUGCCCUUUGAAAUUCUUGAGCCUGUGCUAACACGUUGUACACCAGAGCAGUUGUUUCGAAUAGAGGAGUGCAAUCCGACAUUUAUAGAAGAGUCUGAUCAUUUGUGGAAGAAACACUGCCAAAGGGAUUUUAAAAACGACCAUCUCCUGGAAUAUGAAUCGUGGCGUGAAAUGUAUGUGCGGCUCUUCAGUCAGAGAGAAGAAAAACUAAAGACCCUCACAAAAAACAUUAUUUCAGCUCAGUCUGAAAAACCUAAAGGGCGACAGGUUAAACUGGCUUACAUACAUAGUGUGGCAAAACCACCGAGAAAUGUUCGUCGGCAGCAAGAGAUCUAUGGGACAGCUGGACCUAUUGUACAGCUUCAUCCUAUUGAAAAGGGCAAAACAAAGAAUCCAGAAAGCAGAGACCGAAAUAACACCUCACCAAGCCCAAACGCAACCACUAGCAAUGUAACAAAUGGAAGCUCCAGCACUUACUCAAGUGGAGUGAGUCAGGAUAUAAAAAAACAGUCAAAAAACUCUACAUGUCAAAGUAUAGCCACUCAAUUUCCAUAUUUCUUCCCCGGAGGCUAAUCACUCAAAAGCUUUCUGAAACUAAGCUUCACACUUUAAAAUGCUAUUGUAUGGUGAAAAGUCCAGGGCCUCAUUAACAUCCUUACUGUGAAACAACAUAAAUUCAAGCAUAAAAUUGAUAAGCAAAUAGGCCUAUAAUAAGUUGCAACCAACAGCACCUUCCAAUAUGUUGAACUACCAAAAGUAAAGAAAAGUUGAAAUUCUUUGGCCAGGCAAACCCUGAGAUUUGACCAAACCUCCCUUACGGUUUUGCAGUUUGAAGUCAAUGAUGCUUGUGCCCCUAACUCACACAGGUGCUUUGGAAAAUGUUACCUCUAUGCCUUAUCUCCCAGCCUGUGGCAGCAGUAGACUUAGGCCUUGUCUACACUACAGAGUUUUGUCAACAAAAGGUCACUUUUCCCGACAAAACAGUGGAGGUAUACACUACAAUGCUGCUUCUGGCGGCAAAACUCUCCUGUUUUGGUGACAAAAUAAUUCCCCUCCCGUCUUGAUAAGAGGCAUUGAGCUUUCUAUUCGUGACAAAGUGUCAGUGUAGACACCACACUUGUUUUUGUCACUAUAAAUGGACACAGGAGGUGUCCCAAAAUCUCCAUGCUGACCACUCUGGACUCAGCUGCCCUGUAGCCAGGUAAACAAGCAUCCACCUCGCCUCCUUCUAAGGCCCUGGAAUUUUUGAAAUUCCGCUUCUUGUUUACUUGGCGUGGAGAGCUCACAUCACAUCUUCCCAGGUGGCCGCGGUGGCUCCACGUGGCAAAUACUUUUCUGCUUCUGCGAAGCUGUUGGAUCUGUUGAGUAUAUGGGGGGAGGAGGCUCUCUAGUCCCAGCUUCACUCCAGUCUUAGGAACUUCGAUACCUACAGGCAGACUUCUCGUGGCUCAUGUGAUAAGGGCUACGAAUGGGACACUGUGCAGUGCCAAGCAAAGAUAAAGGGGCUGAGGCAGGCGUACCAGAAGGCAAGGGAGGCAAACUGUCGCUCUAGUGCUGCUCUCAAGAGCUGACGCUUCUAUAAGGAGCUGGAUGCCAUCCUUGGUGGCAACCCCACCUCCACCACCAAGAGCCCCAUGGAUACUUCGGCGGGGCUGGAGGCAGCAGACAGAGGACCUGACCUCCAGGAUGAAGUCGUGGAUGAGGAGGUAGAGUUGGAGGACUAUAUGGAGCCCAUGGCAGGGUCGUCCGGUGGUGUGGCAAGUCAGCAACUUUUCCCCACUCCAGAGGUGUCUAGCCAGUCCCAGCAGUCCCUCUCUGGCUAGCAAGAAGCAGGAGAGGAGACUCCUGGUGUUGCCUUCAGGGGAGCCCCCUACUCAUGGGAGGAGUGCCUCUGCCAGAUAAGGAAGUGACCAAAGUGUAGCAAGGAAGACGUGCUCCAAGUGGUGCUGCAAUCCUCUGAGGAAGAACAAAGAGAACGCAGGGAGUGGAGAGAAAUGAAAGGCGGGACAGAGUCGAGCUCAUUCGAAAGGCCCAUGGGCAGAUGAUAGGUCAUGGCUACUUAAGUUCUUAAUCAAGCUACAUUCAGAAGAGAUGCAUGCUCACCCCCACCAUAGCCAAUACAGAACUGUUUUCCAUGUCCUCCCCAAACUCCUCCCACAUAUUCCCUUCAACUUUCUGGAACAUCUUGGUAUCCUGCUCACUCCACCCCUUCAGACCCCUUCCAAAAUGAUAGUUGGAUUUAUGCACAGCUAUGAGAGCCUUCAAUGCCCUGCACUGCUGCCUCCCUUCCUACCAAGUCUUUAGUGUGCAUUCAUUGGUGUUUAAUAAAAGCAAACUCUCUGAAAGAUAAUCACUCUUUAUUUGUGUCCUCCACAUAGUGAUUGCAGUUAAUAGUUAAACACAUACAUGCAGUUUAAUCAUUUGCUGACUGCAAUUUUCACUCACAAAUAGUCACAACUGUUAUGCUUCAUUAAGUGGAGUUUUGUUUGUUUGCCUGACAGAUUUCUCUAUACAAGCACACAUUACUGGUUCUCUCUCAAAAUGUUCCCUUAAAGCCUCCCUGGUUCGAAUUGCCCCCCAUUGUGCCCUUUUAAUGGCCCUGGCAUCAGGCUGCUCAAAAUCAGCAACCAGGCAAUCUACCUCAGCACUCCAUCUCCUGGACAAACUUUUCAUCCUUGGCCUCUCAAAGAUUAUGGAGCAUGCAGCAGGUAGCUAUGACCAUUGGAAUGUUUCCCUCACUUAGAUCUAACCUGCCAUAAAGGCAGCACCAGCAUGCUUUUAAUCUGCCAAAGGCACAUUCCAUGGUCAUUCUGCACCUACUCAGCUUAUUGUUGAAAUGCUCCUUGCUCUUCUCUCGGUUUCCCAUGUAAGGCUUCAUGGAGAAGUAAGAAGUACGCUGAGUUUCCCAGGCUCACUAUGGGCAUUUCAACAUCUCCCACUGGAAUCUUUUGGUCUAGAAAGAGAGCUCCUGCUUGCAGCUUUCUGUACAGACUAGUGUUCCUGAACAUGCAGGCGUCAUGCACCUUCUCAGACCACCCUGCACGGAUGUCAGUGAAACGCCCUCCGUUGUCAAAAGCACCUACAAUACCAUAGAGUAGUACCCCUUUCUAUUG